UACGAGGGGGGCGAGCGUUGUUCGGAAUUAUUGGGCGUAAAGGGUGCGUAGGCGGUUUGGUAAGUCUUGUGUGAAAUCUCCAGGCUCAACUUGGAGUCUGCACGAGAAACUGCCGGGCUUGAGUGUGGGAGAGGUGAGUGGAAUUCCUGGUGUAGCGGUGAAAUGCGUAGAUAUCAGGAGGAACACCUGUGGCGAAAGCGGCUCACUGGACACGUAUUGACGCUGAGGUGCGAAAGCGUGGGGAGCAAACAGGAU
rnacentral:rRNA from 1 species